UUUCCGUAGGUGAACCUGCGGAGGGAUCAUUACCGAGUGAACGUCUCUCAGGCCCGACCUCCCACCCUGUGUGUUGGUGACCUUGUUGCUUUGGCGCGUCCGCCUCGAUGAGAGGCCGCCGGAAGCUCCCCGCUUUUGGCCCUUUCCCUGCAGUAGCCGCCUUAAAUUCUUAAUAAACCUAUCGUCUGUGUCUCGAUAUAAUAAAAAAAACUUUCAACAACGGACCUCUUGGAUCUGACAUCGAUAAAGAAGACAGCAGGUCGGAAACGUAGAAGUCUU
rnacentral:misc_RNA from 1 species